AACGAACGCUGGCGGCAGGCUUAACACAUGCAAGUCGAGCGCCCCGCAAGGGGAGCGGCAGACGGGUGAGUAACGCGUGGGAAUCUACCCAGUUCUACGGAAUAACCCAGGGAAACUUGGACUAAUACCGUAUACGCCCUACGGGGGAAAGAUUUAUCGGAAUUGGAUGAGCCCGCGUUGGAUUAGCUAGUUGAUGGGGUAAUGGCCUACCAAGGCGACGAUCCAUAGCUGGUCUGAGAGGAUGAUCAGCCACACUGGGACUGAGACACGGCCCAGACUCCUACGGGAGGGAGCAGUGGGGAAUAUUGGACAGUGGGCGAAAGCCUGAUCCAGCCAUGCCGCGUGAGUGAUGAAGGCCGUAGGGUUGUAAAGCUCUUUCAGUGGGGAAGAUAAUGACGGUACCCACAGAAGAAGCCCCGGCUAACUUCGUGCCAGCCGCCGCGGUAAAAC
rnacentral:rRNA from 1 species